UACAGAGGUCCCAAGCGUUGUUCGGAUUCAUUGGGCGUAAAGGGCGCGUAGGCGGCCACGCACGUCCGUUGUGAAAUCGCCCGGCUCAACUGGGCGGGGUCAGCGGAUACGGUGUGGCUAGAGCAAGCUAGGGGGCAAUGGAAUUCCCGGUGUAGUGGUGGAAUGCGUAGAUAUCGGGAGGAACACCAGUGGCGAAGGCGGUUGCCUGGAGCUUUGCUGACGCUGAUGCGCGAAAGCGUGGGGAGCGAUCCGG
rnacentral:rRNA from 1 species